rnacentral:hammerhead_ribozyme from 1 species
AUCUAGCUGAAGAGUCCCAAAUAGGACGAAACGCACGUCUUGGAU